GUUGGCAACAGAGGCAGCUGUGAGCCUGUGUCCCAUGCAAAUGCAAGAGGGACAAGAGACAAAAAAGUCCUACAAGCUGCAUCAGACUGUUGACUGUCCGAUGUCUCACACAGGUGCCCGGCAUCAUGGUGAUGCUUUUUGCUGUGGCAAAAGACUGAAACACAAUGGUUUCUGCUGAUUGAGACUUCAUGCCUGAAUCCAAAACAAGAAGAGGACGGGAGAAAGGGUCACUGAUUUUUCUUCAACAGGAAAGCAAAAAGUCUUCCUGGCAACCCCCUUAUCAGUGUUCCAUUUAUAUCCCAUCUAUAUCUUAUUGGCAGAACCUGGGUCAUUUGGUCAUGCCUAAGAGACAGGCUUGGAAAGUGGGAGCAUGAGUAUCAUAUGUGCUGGGCCACUCAUCUUCCAUUUGUUAGCCAUGUGUUUGUGGAAGAGGACGUUACCCCCAGUCCAUGGGUAAAAUUCAACUACCUGAAGCCAUUCAAGAAAACCAUCUUUUCUGGAGGACUUCUUAGAAAAGAUUCCUUUUGGCAAGUAGAAGGACAUAGCAGGGGAACAGUUCUUCUGCAGAUAAUCAUGUGCACAUGGAAUGGCUAGAAGUUCGGAGUCCAUUGACUGAGAGCAUGAGGGGAACCAAAUUCUGCAGUUGGCAGUGCCAACAGGCAACAUUUGAACCACCCUACUUAGGUUGUUUUAGUGACAAGAUGGGAUGUAUUUUUCUCAUUACUACAUUGUUUUCUAUUACUUGUAGCUUAGUGCAUCUUGACCAAUACAACUGAUGAUAUUCAGAUAUUCUGAAAUCCAUGACCAUUCAAGUGAAAUGUAGAUUUUUGUUGUCCAGUGAUUAAAAAGUGUCUCAAGCAAUACUGUGUGUAAAUGUAUGUGUUAAAUUCUUAAGUAGUACUUGGAAAGUUUUGCUCUCGAUUCUAAUGUUAACCU
rnacentral:lncRNA from 12 species